GCGAGAGUAGCUCAGCUGGUAGAGCGCAACCUUGCCAAGGUUGAGGUCGCGAGUUCGAACCUCGUCUCCCGCUCAA
rnacentral:tRNA from 2 species